rnacentral:rRNA from 1 species
CGCCCCUAGAAAAAUAAUAGGGGUCUCGCCUGCCCAGUGAUGAGAAUUAAACGGCCGCAGUUAAUAGCUGUGCUAAGGUAGCGCAAUCAAUUGUCCCUUAAUAGAGGAAUGGUAUGAAUGGCUGGACGUGAGAUAAGCUGUCUCUAUUACAACAGCAUGAAAUUUUCCUUUAAGUGAAAAGACUUAAAUUUUUAUAAAAGACGAGAAGACCCUAUCGAACUUAAUAAUCAAUUAAAACAAAAAUUAAUUGAGAAAUUUUACUGGGGCAGUAAGAAGAAAAAAUAAUUCUUCCAAAAUCCAAAGAUCCCUUAAUAAGGAAAAAAGAAAAAGUUACCGUAGGGAUAACAGCGUUAUCAUUUUUAAGAGAACUAAUCGAAAAAAUGGUUUGCGACCUCGAUGUUGGAUUCAAGUUUCUUCCUUGGCGCAGGAGCUAGGAAAGUAGGUCUGUUCGCCCUUUUAAACUUG